GGACUCCCUCCAUAUUCUUUAAAACGGAUAAAAUAUGUUUGGCAUAUCCCAAAAGUCACAAGAGUGCAAUUGCUGUGGUCUUGAAGUAUCAGAAGUAAAAACUAAGUCCCAAAAUCGAUCAUUACAUUCAAUGUAGCAAAGCUCCGCCCGCCGGGGAGAGACAUAAAACAAAAACAUGCCCGUCCUUACUUUUAGCGUGUUGAGCGCGCAAGUGAAAAGUUGUCACUCACGCAUUUCGCGUCGACACAGUCAGACAAACAAUUAGCCGCUCUUCAAAUGAAAAGUUUUUCAUGAUGUGAAAAUGUCCGAGUUUUUGGUUCAGGCAUGUUUAAAUAUUUAUAAACUGGCAGACGCAAGAAGGAUUGCCCAUAAUGUCACUAAUAACUGACGCAGUAUGAACACAAGUUAGCUAACAAACAAACCUCAGAUGCUAGCGCCGUUCUUGUGUCAUUAAGCCGUGAGAACCAGGCUGAAGAGAAGCGGCCAUUUGAAGCGGAGCUGCGUGAAGUUAGCUUAAACUUCGCCUCACGUACUCGAUUCAAGGAACACCAGAAAGGUUCAAAUUACAUCUGCUACACUGGAGAGGCGAGCAGCAGGUAAGGUGGCCCAGUCUGCCACGACAGGACUUCCACAUUCUCAAAACAACUGCACAGACUGGGGAGACGACUCCGGUAAGAUGAAGAUCCACUUAUUUAAAGGGUAACCAACUCAUCCUUAAAAGUCUGAAACUACACCAGGUGAUCAUCCCACAGGUGAAACUACCAAAAAGAGAAGAGGACAGAACCAAAUUACAUUAAAAUUAAAGCGUUACUGUGGAGUGAUGUCUCCUGAAAAACAACAUUAAUUGUAUCAAAAAGAUAAAGAGUACAGAAAGAAUACCAGCCCAGUUAUUAACAAUUUACAACUAUUUAAAAAAUGAUCGAGUCUGUAAAAAGAGCAUGAGGAUGUCCUGAAAAGAAAGCAUUAGAAAUUGAGAGAUGAAUUCCCUUGAAAAAUAAACGAAAUGCACCAAAAGGGGACAAAAGAACACAGCCUGAGGAUGGACACCCCCUCAUUAACAUGAUCAGGUCUGCAGUAACAGGACAAGGAUGCUGGAAAAACUGGACUACGCAAAUUAAAGAAGGGUUGAAAAAUGAACAGGAGGGAGUGAGCUGGAAUGAUGUUAACUGUAAACAAGUCAAAGAGGAGCCAGCAGACCCUGAGACACGUGAAAUCUGCCAUGUAACAAAGUUUGGGAAUUGGGAAUUUGAAGGCCUGGAGGCAUUUGUUAAGAGAGAGAUGGAGCCACGCUUAACUGGACACUGUGAGGAGAUACCAUAAGCUGAGGCACUGGAAAGCAACACAAGUAAGCCACCUCACAUCUAAUCUUUGACUUAUCUUCCUCAGUGCCGCUAGCUGCUUCAGUCAAGAAUUUUUUUAGCUUACUUCUUACUCAGUAGAAGAUUGUUUUGUUUUUUUUCUCAGACCAGUACAGAUUUAUUUUGAGGGUGUAAUUGUUAACAGUUUUCAUUGGUUAUUGAACCGUACAUUGAUGUCUUCUUUACUUCAAAUCCUAAGUAAUUCAAUACUUGGUAACUAAAUUUAAAACAACAUUUUGUUUUUUUAUCAGUUUGCUGUCUUGUUCUUUGACCAAAUCAGUUCUAAGUCAAUAAAAAGCCAGUCACUGACUUGUUUAAAAG